rnacentral:rRNA from 1 species
CCUACGGGCGGCAGCAGUGGGGAAUAUUGGACAAUGGGCGAAAGCCUGAUCCAGCCAUGCCGCGUGUGUGAAGAAGGCCUUCGGGUUGUAAAGCACUUUCAGUGGGGAAGAAAGCCUUGGGGCUAAUACCCUCGAGGAAGGACAUCACCCACAGAAGAAGCACCGGCUAACUGCCGUGCCAGCAGCCGCGGUAAUACGGAGGGUGCGAGCGUUAAUCGGAAUUACUGGGCGUAAAGCGCGCGUAGGCGGUCUGAUAAGCCGGUUGUGAAAGCCCCGGGCUCAACCUGGGAACGGCAUCCGGAACUGUCAGGCUAGAGUGCAGGAGAGGAAGGUAGAAUUCCCGGUGUAGCGGUGAAAUGCGUAGAGAUCGGGAGGAAUACCAGUGGCGAAGGCGGCCUUCUGGACUGACACUGACGCUGAGGUGCGAAAGCGUGGGUAGCAAACAGGAUUAGAUACCCCUGUAGUC